AAUUACCAAUGCACACAUCGUUAAUCCUGAUUAUUUGCUACCACGGAGGAAGCACUUUUCCAUCUACCUGGCACAAACGGAAACUCGCCCCAGGACCCAUCUGCCCAAUUUCCCUAAAUGAGGGUGGCCAAUGCCACUUGCUACUGCGUGGACAAGGAAGAUGCAUGGCCAAGACUUGGAUUCCAACUAAGCCUGCUGGAUCCACGCUCCAGAGCAGUGAUUUUCAACUGGUGUGCUGUGGCACACUGUGUGCCAUGAAAAUUUUUAAAGCUCAUUAAAUUAUUUUCAAAAGAAGUUUAAGCAAAAAAAAGGCAACCAAAUGACAGGAAAUCAAAGCCCUUGGUCCCACCAGUACUGCACAAUGACCAGCGUCUGAUAUCUGACAGCAAACAACUCCGACUCCUUGGAUCUGCCUCCUCAAGGCCUACUCAGGAAUCAGGAACUUAAAACCGACCAAAAGCGAGCCUGUGAGCGCCAGGGCCCUGGAGCAUGAUGCAUGGCACAGCUGGAGGAGUCAGCAAGUAAGGGGUCCCGCCUAUGCCAAUUGGGUUGAUGGGGGAGUGCCGGAGAGACCGGCUGCAUUUACUCAAAUAGAUCCCCAAUCCUGAACUCCCCCACCCCCAUUAGAGACUGUAACAAGAAUAUUAUGAACUCAAGAUAGGGAAAAGAAGGGAAAGAAGGGUGCUUCAACUGCCCUACGAAUACAGUGAACUGAUAAUGAGAAAACAAGUGCAGUUUUCCUCCUUCCAAGAUCUUCAAGGGUGUGACAAGAAUGGACAGACAGCCCCUCUUAACUCUUCAGAGCAUAUUUCUUUUGGCUUCCAGAUACCACAGUGACUAAGGAUGCAGCUUCGAGAGCUAGGAGAUUAAGAGAAGUGGCUUCAAAGCCCUUCUCCAUUAGGUGCUGACGAAUCACUUAACCCCUGCCUCUGUAUGUCUCAUCUUUAAAAUGAGAUGCUACUAUUCCCGACCUUACAGCCCUGAGGUGAGGCAAUGUGGUAUAAACUGCUCAGCGGACGAACUGGCACACAAACUCAGUGAAUGACAGCUAUUAUAGUGAUUCUGACAAUUUCAACAAUAAGAAAAGUUUUUCACACCCUUCAACUGUUCAAAAUCUGAAGUGGAGAGAAAUGUAGGGACAUGGAGUGAUUUAAAACUAAUAUUUUAUGUUUGGCAAAGGUGAGGAAAUAAUUACACAAGUAAACUCUACUUUUGGCAGCUCUGGAGUCACACAAUAGAUAACAUUUAAACAAUGUGUAACUGAGUUCCACCAAAUAUGAACCAUCCCAAGCUUAUCCAUCUAACCAGGGCAUUGUAAUUCUUCUCUUUUAAAAGUUUAAGUCAGGAAGGACAGACAAAUAAUCAGUUAUUAAAGCAAACAGUCAAAUAAAGAAUCUCUCUUAAAAAAAUAGUGAACUUCAAAUAGCCAGGCGUUGUGGCGGGCGCCUGUAGUCCCAGCUGCUCGGGAGGCUGAGGCAAGAGAAUCGCAUAGGCCCAAGAGUUAAGAGGUUGCUGUGAGCCGUGUGACGCCACGGCACUCUACCCGAGGGCAGUACAGUGAGACUCUGUCUCUACAAAAAAAAAAUAGUCAACUUCGGCUCGGCGCCUGUGGCUCAAGUGGCUCAAGCGGCUAAGGCGCCAGCCACAUACACCUGAGCUGGCGGGUUCAACUCCAGCCCGGGCCUGCCAAACAAGAAUGACAGGUGCAACCAAAAUAUAGCCAGGCUUUGUGGCAGACGCCUGUAGUCCCAGCUCCUUGGGAGGCGGAGGCAAGAGAAUCGCUUGAGUCCAGGAGUUGGAGGUUGCUGUGAGCUGUGAUGCUACAGCACUCUACCCAGGGUGACAGCUUGAGGCUCUGUCUCAAAAAAAAUAGUCAACUUCAAAACACACCAAGUAGAAUGAUUUUAUCAAGCUGGUAAGGGUCUGACAUCUCCCUUCAAAGUUCAGGCAGACUGAAAGCCAUCGAUGGUCCUGCUAUACUUGUUGACAUUUGGCAUGUAAAAUGCUUGAAAAUGUCAUUUCAUUCAGAUGGUGUGUUUGCACAGACACGUAGCACUAAAACGGUACAUUCUUUCAGUGACAACCCGGGUUAAGCCUGGAAAAGAAGGGUGUAAUUAUGUCACCCCCAGUGUAAAACUGGUAAGAACCUCCAUGGAGUAUAAUAGGAGCUGGAGAUAUCCUAACUAGAGGACAGGGACCCAAAAUGCCACCAUCUUUAUAGAGAUCUGUGAAACAAUUGCAGCACCAUGUCAGGGGCAGGGAGUUGAAGUAGAAGUGUCAGGGGAUUCCCAUGUGACUUUCAACAAAUCCACUUGACCUUUCCAGGCCAUAUUGGAAGUGGAGCAACAUUGACUUGGCUGCCAGUUUGACAGAGUUUAUGAAAGGAUCAGGUUUUAUUUAUAUAGAGGUCGACAUCCUUAGCUCCAAAGUGUUUUCCUAUUAAUAAAACGAACAUGUCAAGAAGGUCAACUCAGAGGCCAGUGGUUACUCAUCCACUAGUGAAUCACCCGAUGGAUUCAUGUGUUAGGAGAUUAUGCAAGCCUUCAGAUUAGGCAGUCAAGAAAGGAAAACUUUAGGAAGUCACCUAGCCUGGACAUCCCUUCCUCUACUGAUCUCUCACUCCAGAUACAGCAGUCUAGUCAAUGGACCUGAAAUGGGCUGUACACCAGUUCAGAGCCACUUAGGUCCAUUCCAUAAAAACCAGUGCUCCCACCUAGCUAAUGACUUAGGUUAGGGCCCAGUAUAACUGCUUCUCCAUGAACCUCCCCAGCCCAGCACAACCUUAGAAAGAUUCCAUGUCUGAAUUCACAGCACACCUCUUUGACAACACUACAUAUGCCUACUGUUGGUCUUGUUGGCUUUGCAUACAUAUUAUGGCCUUUUUCAGAAUAAAGUCCAUGUCUGAAGACUAA